rnacentral:rRNA from 1 species
UACGAAGGGGGCUAGCGUUGUUCGGAAUCACUGGGCGUAAAGGGCGCGUAGGCGGCUUUGUAAGUCGGGGGUGAAAGCCUGUGGCUCAACCACAGAAUUGCCUUCGAUACUGUAGAGCUUGAGACCGGAAGAGGUUAGUGGAACUGCGAGUGUAGAGGUGAAAUUCGUAGAUAUUCGCAAGAACACCAGUGGCGAAGGCGGCUGACUGGUCCGGUUCUGACGCUGAGGCACGAAAGCCAAGGGAGCAAACAGG